GAACUAACGAAACACUGGGCCGCCUGCAGCGGAACGCGCGAACUUAACCACUCGGCCACGGGGCCAGCCCCAUGGAAGGUCAUUUUUAAAGCAACGAUGUCAGGGGCCAGAGAGGAACCCAGCCCAAAGUCCCCAAAUCUACCUGGUAGAUGCCACCAACUUCAGGAAGGCUUCCGGCAAGGAGACCUUGGGCAGGCUGGGUGAUGCCCCAGUGCCCUCGGCUGUGCCUGCCCUUGAUCACCAGGCUGUUCACUGCCUGGGAAGCUGGGAGCUGGGGCACCUGGAUGGUCUGGAAAUGGAGGGCCUGUGGAGCCCCAUGCUUGCCUGCUCCUCCCUGCCACCCUCUCCCUGAGAGCAAGAGGCAAGGCCAGGAGGCUCCUGGGAGCCUAAUUCCCAGGGCCUGGCAGCCAGCUCUGUAGCUGAUGCAAGGCCAGGGACGGGUGAGCUCAGUCUGUCUCCGGCACGUGGAGCUUCUUGCAUCCUAGAAAACAUACCCAUUCAUUCCUGUCUGCUUCAGCCCUCCUAGGUCUCUGGCUCCAUUCUUCUGGAAGCAGAGCAGGGCCGCGUAAGGCUCUGGGAGCAAGCCUUGCUUGGUGCUAGGGCAGCACUGAGCAUUUUGGAGUCAACCCCACUCCCCUGCACAGGCAGCCUUUGAACAGUACUGGGACUCGGAGCCCUGCCUCCAGGGGGCCUGUCCAGUGGAAAUGGAGAACCUGGGUACCCCUUGGCCCUCAGGCUCUAUCCAUGCCAGCCCACUUCUCCUUCAGGGAGAGGUCAGACAGCCCUGGCAAGUCUCUUAUCCCAUUAGAAGGAUGGACUUUCUUCCACCUGCCUCCACCUCUUAGUCUUGAUGCCCACGCCCCAGGUAGGAAUGCCAGGGCCCUACCACCCUCUCAAGGACCCUCGAGGCAUCAUCAGCUCAGGAUGAGGAUUCAUUCGGCAGCUAUUUACUAAGAGCUCGGUAAUAAUCACAUAACAUGUAAUAGCACAACGCGGAUAACGUGUGUGCCUCAAAAUGCUUUCAUGAUUAAUUAGUGCUUCAAGGGAUCCUAGUCACAGUGCUGUGACGUAGGGAGGCCCUCGAUGAAGAAGCUAAGGCCCAGAGAGUUUAAGUGGCAGAACCGGAAGUCCUGCCCGCAGGGUCUUCUUGCCGGCAAGCGCCUGAGUGGGAAGCAGGCUUCGAGAGGCAGGCUUGCUUGUCACUGGAGACCCAUUUAGACAGAGGAACUUUUCUCCUGGGGAAGGAGGAGCAGGUGGAGGAGGCUGGGAGAAGAGGACUUGUGGAUUUGGGGUAGAGGCAUGCUGGGGGCCAGGCCUGUCUGGGAAGGCCUGGAGAGGUUCUGGGGGCACUGAGAUCCGGAAGGGAGGGUACUCAGAGCACUGGAGUUGCAGCUCCUGCCCUUCAGCUGCUCACUCAGACAAAGGCUCAUUGGUCACGCCAACCUCAGGCUAGUUCCCGCUGGGUUGUGGCUGCUGCCUGGGGGCUGAGGCAGGCUUCAGGACUGGCCUCUCCAAUUCUGGCCCGGGACCAGUGGCAGUGGCCAUUACUGGCGUCCCUGUUGAUACCAGCAUUGAAUGAAGCCGUCUUUGUCACCUGCCCCAUCUACCUUGGGUCUACCCUUCCCCCUCGGCCGUGCUUGACCCUCUCUGGGUGGCUGUCUGCACAUCUUCAUGACCUUCGCCCACUCUCUCAGCAGUUCUUGUUGCUGACGCAACUUCUGAGGCUGGUGAGCUGAGGCUGCCCAGGCUCGCAGGCAGGUGAGCACACAGUGCCCUGUUCUGGAGGGUACAGCCUGUGCCAACCACACCCGCCCCUCCCUGACUCGGGCUCUCAGGCCUGGCGGGGAGAUCUGUGAUGGAGCUGGAGGUGAAGAGGGAGCAGCUGUGCCCUUCUCAUUGGAAGGACUCAGAGAUGAGACACACAGCUCCGGGGGCCACACGAGGCCCAGCCUGCACGGUGCUCUGAGCCCUCUUGUCUCCUCUCCUCUCCUUCACCGACCCCUCACGGUCAGAGAAGAGGAAUCUGGAGGAGAAAACCCAAUGCAAAGCCAGCUCCUGGCUCUGCCCCAACCCUGAACCAAUCCCUGGAACCACUAGCAUCCCUCCUGUGUUUAUUUAUCUUUUAUUAGAUAUUACAAUCACAUGAGAUUAAAUUAAAAAUGUAUAAAAGAGUUUAAUGCAGAGAAAACAAACACCCCUCCCACGCCUUUCACUCAAUUGCCCGGCUCUCCUCCCCAGGGAAAAGCAGUGUUACCAGUUUCUUGUGUUUCUUUACAGAGAUAGGCUAGACUAACCAUUGGAUUUUUGAUUAUCAAAUCUCACAUAGCAAGGUCACAUCUUGCUUAACUUUUCAGCUUGGGAUGAGGAGGGAUAAAGUCCCCUGCUCUGAGCAUUCCUUAAGAAGGGACAGGAAGUGGGCAGAGAGAAACCUCCCACGGCAGGCCCACGUUCCAGUUCUCUCUCCUCUGCAGGACCCUCCACCUGUCACUUCAUUCACCACGCAAGGCCUAAAUGAAAAAGGACAGAUGGCAUUGACCUCAUUUCUUAGACAGGGAAGCUGAGGAGCCAAGAUGUUAAGGAGACUCAAGGUCACACAGCAGGCUGGGGCACCUCAGUUUUUCUAUACCCUCACCCCACCUCCCUAAUAUCUUCUCUUCAUCUUCUAAAUGGCCUCGAGUUCUUAAAUAUAUUAUUGUCACAAUUAGACUAUGGACAUCUCAAGGGCAGUGUCAAGGACUCUCUUCUUUGUCACCCCUCUGAGCUGGACUCUGAGCUGGGCCCCAUGCAGCCUCUUGGCGGUGGUCAACGACGUCGCCUGAAUCAACUGGCUCCACUUCCUGCUUCCUCAUUCUGCUCAAGGUGUCACCAUGCUUACGGUCGAGGACACCGAUCUGGGCCCGGGAUCUCACCUGACUCUCUCCAGGCUCCCCAAGGACCAAAGCUCUAUUGUGGGAUCAAGGCCCCAUCUGCCUUCCUGGAGUUCCAACCAUGGCCUGCUGCCAAGUCCUGCUCCCCACCACCCUCCAUUGCCUUGUUCCCCCUGGAUUUCCACCACAGGUAACGGUGUGAAGUCAGGGUGAACUUAAUUGGGGUGAAGGAUGACUGCUGCAUUAAAUUGGAUGGAACUGGUCUGUUCAACCACUGCCCAUUAAAAAUGGUGGCCUUUCUUUAACAUAGCCAUAAUGAGACCAUCCCUCCAGAGAAAAGUGCUAAUAGAAUCACCCGCCUUGAAUGCUUAACUCUUACUCAAUGCCUUGACCUGGACGUCUGAUAGACAUGGCCCACAUACUAUCUAAAAUCAAACCUUUUCUUCCCCCCAAACCUGCUCAUUCCACAGCGUUCCCUAGCUCAGUAAAAGACUACAUGGCACCUUCGUUCUUUCAGUGCUCAGACCAAAACCAGUUUAAGGUCUCCUUUGAUGUGUUUCCUUUACUCACACUCUACAGUAAAUAUAUCAGUAAAUCCUUCAUUGGCUCUACCUUCAAAAUAUAUCCACCACUUCCCCUGCUGCCACUGUUCCUAGCCACUGAAGUCUUGACCAUGACCUCCCAGGCUCCAUGUCAUCUGGCCCACUGCCACCUCCCUGGUCUCAUCUCCUGCCACUCUGCCUACUUUGCUCCUGCUGCACUGGCCUUCUUGCUGGUCCUCAGGCACCACAGCCCACUCUUGCCUCGAGGCCUUUGCCCUGCUGUCCUCUCACUUGGAAUUUUCUCCCCGGGCACUCACAAUGCUGGCUUUCUCAUUUUCUUGUGGUCCCUGCCCAGAUGUCACUUCCUCAGUGAGACCUCCAGACCACCCUAUUUAAGGUAAACCCUCCCACAUUCAAUACUCCCACACGCUAGAUCCCUCUUUGCGUUUUUUUUGUUGUUGUACUUAUCACGACUUGGCAUAUCAUCUGUGUACACAUAUAAAAAUAAAAUAUUACAUAUUU